rnacentral:rRNA from 1 species
GGAGGGUGCAAGCGUUAAUCGGGAAUUACUGGGGCGUAAAGCGCGCGUAGGCGGCUAAUCAAGUUGGAUGUGAAAGCCCUGGGGCUUAAACCUGGGGAACUGCAUUCAAAACUAAUUGGCUAGAGUAUAGUAGAGGUGAGUGGAAUUUCCGGUGUAGCGGUGAGAUGCGUAGAUAUCGGAAGGAACACCAGUGGCGAAGGCGGCUCACUGGACUAAUACUGACGCUGAGGUGCGAAAGCGUGGGGAGCAAACAGGAUUAGAGACCCUGGUAGUCCACGCCGUAAACGAUGAGAACUAGCUGUUGGGGAGCGUUGACUCUCUAGUAGCGUAGCUAACGCGUUAAGUUCUCCGCCUGGGGAGUACGGUCGCAAAGAUUAA